GAUGAACGCUGGCGGCGUGCCUAAUACAUGCAAGUCGAGCGAACGGACGAGAAGCUUGCUUUUCUGAUGUUAGCGGCGGACGGGUGAGUAACACGUGGAUACCCUCCCUAUCAGACUGGGAUAACUUCGGGACACCGGCGCUAAUACCGGAUAAUAUUUUGAACCGCAUGGUUCAAAAGUGAAAGACGGUCUUGCUGUCACUUAUCGAUGGAUCCGCGCUGCAUUAGCUAGUUGGUAAGGUAACGGCUUACCAAGGCAACGAUGCAUAGCCGACCGGAGAGAGUGAUCGGCCACACGGGAGCUGAAACACGGUCCAGACUCCUACGGGAGGCAGCAGUAGGGAAUCUUCCGCAAUGGUCGAGAGCCUGACGGAGCAACGCCGCGUGAGUGAUGACAGUCCUCGGAGCGUAAAGCCCUGUUAUUAGGUAAGAACAGAUGUGUAAGUAACUGUGCACAUCGUGACGGUACCUAAUCAGAAAGCCACGGCUAACUACGUG
rnacentral:rRNA from 1 species